rnacentral:rRNA from 1 species
UGGACUCGCGGCUUAUCAGCUUGUUGGUGGGGUAGUGGCUUACCAAGGCUUUGACGGGUAGCCGGCCUGAGAGGGUGACCGGCCACAUUGGGACUGAGAUACGGCCCAGACUCCUACGGGAGGCAGCAGUGGGGAAUAUUGCACAAUGGGCGGAAGCCUGAUGCAGCAACGCCGCGUGCGGGAUGACGGCCUUCGGGUUGUAAACCGCUUUCGCCUGUGACGAAGCGUGAGUGACGGUAAUGGGUAAAGAAGCACCGGCUAACUACGUGCCAGCAGCCGCGGUGAUACGUAGGGUGCGAGCGUUGUCCGGAUUUAUUGGGCGUAAAGGGCUCGUAGGUGGUUGAUCGCGUCGGAAGUGUAAUCUUGGGGCUUAACCCUGAGCGUGCUUUCGAUACGGGUUGACUUGAGGAAGGUAGGGGAGAAUGGAAUUCCUGGUGGAGCGGUGGAAUGCGCAGAUAUCAGGAGGAACACCAGUGGCGAAGGCGGUUCUCUGGGCCUUUCCUGACGCUGAGGAGCGAAAGCGUGGGGAGCGAACAGGCUUAGAUACCCUGGUAGUCCACGCUGUAAACGGUGGGUACUAGGUGUGGGGUCCAUUCCACGGGUUCCGUGCCGUAGCUAACGCUUUAAGUACCCCGCCUGGGGAGUACGGCCGCAAGGCUAAAACUCAAAGGAAUUGACGGGGCCCCGCACAAGCGGCGGAGCAUGCGGAUUAAUUCGAUGCAACGCGUAGAACCUUACCUGGGUUUGACAUGGAUCGGGAGCGCUCAGAGAUGGGUGUGCCUCUUUUGGGGUCGGUUCACAGGUGGUGCAUGGCUGUCGUCAGCUCGUGUCGUGAGAUGUUGGGUUAAGUCCCGCAACGAGCGCAACCCUUGUUCACUGUUGCCAGCACGUUAUGGUGGGGACUCAGUGGAGACCGCCGGGGUCAACUCGGAGGAAGGUGGGGAUGACGUCAAGUCAUCAUGCCCCUUAUGUCCAGGGCUUCACGCAUGCUACAAUGGCUGGUACAGAGAGUGGCGAG